rnacentral:rRNA from 1 species
ACGAGGGUGACAGGUGGUGCAUGGUUGUCGUCGGCUCGUGUCGUGAGAUGUUGGGUUAAGUCCCGCAACGAGCGCAACCCUCGACCUUAGUUGCCAGCAUUCAGUUGGGCACUCUAAGGUGACUGCCGGCUAAAAGUCGGAGGAAGGUGGGGAUGACGUCAAAUCAUCAUGCCCCUUAUGACCUGGGCUACACACGUGCUACAAUGGGCGGUACAAAGGGUCGCGAACCCGCGAGGGGGAGCCAAUCCCAAAAAGCCGCUCUCAGUUCGGAUUGCAGGCUGCAACUCGCCUGCAUGAAGCCGGAAUCGCUAGUAAUCGCGGAUCAGCAUGCCGCGGUGAAUACGUUCCCGGGCCUU